CAACUACCGAAUACGGGGUAGAAGACCACAGACUCCACUGGGGACAGGGUGAAUGAAGGCCAAAUACUGAGCACUUAUUCAACUUAUUCCACAGGGAAACGCAAACUUCGUUGGGGAUAAAACCACAACAACCCAAAAUCCACCAAUAAGCAGAACGAACCACAAAGGUUACCGCUGCUAGAGGAAAAGAGAUAGGGCUUACAACUACCGAAUACGGGGUAGUAGCCAUACUCUG
rnacentral:lncRNA from 1 species